AGAGGGGAGGGGAUCAGCCCAAGGAAGAGACAGUGGCUGCUCUCAGUCUACCCCUCAGCAGAGGACACCAGUGAGGCCUGAGUCCUGAGUCCUGUUAUUGGAGCUCUCCUGCUGCGAGCACCCUGCUUCCCCCGAAGUUCACGUGAAGAGAGCAGCUGGAGGUGCCGCUGCAAAGUACAGCUCUAACAUGUCCCUUCCCUGCUUGAAGACUCCCUAGUGCGCUCAGAAGAUCUGUUUGGUGAAUGCCGUUAAUCCCAGAACUCAGAAGGAGGCAGAGGCAGGCAGAUCUCUGAGUUUGAGGCCAGCCUGGUCUAUAUAGGAGCUCCAGGCCAGCAGCUAAGAUUACAAAGUCAGAGCCUGACUCCAUAAAAAAGGAGAAACAGAAAGAACAACAGAGAGAAAACCUGACGCCUGUGAUGCCCUCACCAUAGCUAGUAACUCAUGCUAUCCGCCUUGAAGGCAUGACUCCUUGCCUCAGUGGACACUGUGAUUCCCCAGGUGCCCCCAACCCCACAGCAGGGGUAGUGAUUUACAAGUACAGGCUCUAGGCCAAGGUCUGAGCUCCAUUCAAGCCUCAAUUUUCCCGUCUCAAAAGAGGGCAUAAUAAUAGCAUCUACCUAGCCUAGAGGACACAGGAAUCAAAGUGUUACUAGUAUAUGGCAAUGCUGAGAACUGCAGCAUGCUGGCCUCUUGGUUUUUUAAUUUUACUUUUUUUCUUUGAGACAGAAUUUCACUACAUUGCUGCCCCGGUCAGUCUUGAAGUUUUAUCCCUCUGCUUCCAUUUCUCCAGUGCUGGGGACUAAGACAGUAGCUGAGGACACUGAACUCUUGAUCCUCUGACCUCUACCUGCCAGACGCUGGGGUUACAGCUGCGUGCCACCAACACUUUUAUGACGUCUACGAGCCAUCUGUGUGAGUGCUAUUGGCUUGUCAAGCUUUGUAAAUGUUGGAUUGUGACUCUGCAUGAGGCGCUGUAACAGAAUGUUGGAGUUGCAAAAGAACCGGCAGCAGCCAGGGUUUCUGUAUAUACAACAACGUAAACUAGUUACCAAUCAAACAUGUAAGAAAUACGAAGUGUUCCUGGUAAAAAAAAAAGGGGGGGGGUAGCUGUUGAGGGGAGAAAGGGCAAAAAGCUCAGGUCUAAGCGUGUGCUCUCCUCUCUCUUAUCCACAGACCUGGGUCAGUUCGUCCCUCUCUAGAUAGCCUUCAGUUCAGGACCCCGGACACUGGCCCUAAACUACCAACAGUGACUUUAGCCAUCCUGCUGAUGACUGUUGUAAAGAUAUGUGUCUGAGCUCUGGCAACAAGAUGGGAUUCUCCUUAGGGCUCUGGAUCUGCUCCCGAAGCUGCCUCAACUCCUGCCACGU
rnacentral:sRNA from 1 species